AAAACGACUCUCGGCAACGGAUAUCUCGGCUCUCGCAUCGAUGAAGAACGUACGAAAUGCGAUACUUGGUGUGAAUUGCAGAAUCCCGUGAACCAUCGAGUCUUUGAACGCAAGUUGCGCCCCAAGCCUUCUGGCCGAGGGCACGUCUGCCUGGG
rnacentral:rRNA from 1 species